UACGGAGGGUGCAAACGUUGCUCGGAAUCAUUGGGCGUAAAGCGCACGUAGGCGGAUCGCUAAGUCGGAUGUGAAAGCCCUCGGCUUAACCGAGGAAGUGCAUUCGAAACUGGCAGUCUUGAGUAUGGAAGAGGGUCGCGGAAUUCCCGGUGUAGAGGUGAAAUUCGUAGAUAUCGGGAGGAACACCAGUGGCGAAGGCGGCGACCUGGGCCAAUACUGACGCUGAGGUGCGAAAGCGUGGGGAGCAAACAGG
rnacentral:rRNA from 1 species